UACCGGCGGCUCGAGUGGUGGCCACUUUUAUUGGGCUUAAAGCGUUCGUAGCUGGGUUGUUAAGUCUCUUGGGAAAUCUGACGGCUUAACCGUCAGGCGUCUAAGAGAUACUGGCAAUCUUGGAACCGGGAGAGGUGAGGGGUACUUCGGGGGUAGGAGUGAAAUCCUGUAAUCCUCGAGGGACCACCUGUGGCGAAGGCGCCUCACCAGAACGGCUUCGACAGUGAGGGACGAAAGCUGGGGGAGCAAACCGG
rnacentral:rRNA from 1 species